CGGGGACUCAACCAUGAGGCUGGGAGGUCAGGGAAGUCUCCCAGGGACAGACAGGCUCUCCCUGAGGAAGACUGUCAAGGAUCCACCACCUGUGCAGAAGCCAGAAAAAGUAAGUCGCAGUUCCGGUCCCGAUAUUGUCACAUCCCAAGGAGCCCACUGACCUUCACCAAGAGUGCCAUGAAGGCUGCGCCCCAUGACCUCCACCUGCCGAGGCAGAGAAGAGGGUGACAGAGGGGCAGAGUGAAGCCUGAGAAGGGUGGGGACUCACAGUGAUGUCCCCAGCACGCCCUUCCCACUCCCUGCACCCCUCAAAAUGAGGCUUCUCACCAAUUCACAGCCUGGGGUGGCCAGUUUCAGCAACUGUGAUGAUCUCUCCUGAAUAAAUGGGGCUCGC
rnacentral:lncRNA from 1 species